rnacentral:rRNA from 1 species
GAUGAGCUUGCGUACUAUUAGCUAGUUGGUGGGGUAAAGGCCUACCAAGGCGAUGAUGGUUAACCGGCCUGAGAGGGUGUUCGGUCACACUGGAACUGAGAUACGGUCCAGACUCCUACGGGAGGCAGCAGUGAGGAAUAUUGCGCAAUGGGCGAAAGCCUGACGCAGCGACGCCGCGUGGAGGAUGAAGGUCUUCGGAUUGUAAACUUCUGUUAAGUGGGAAGAAAAAGCUAUUUUUAAUAGAGAUGGCUAAUGACGGUACCAUUAGAGAAGGCACCGGCUAAACUCGUGCCAGCAGCCGCGGUAAUACGAGUGGUGCAAGCGUUAUUCGGAAUCAUUGGGCGUACAGGGUGUGUAGGCGGCAUGUUAAGUCUGUUGUUAAAUCCUCCGGCCUAACUGGAGAUAGGCAGCGGAAACUGGCGUACUAGAGGGUGGAAGAGAGAAGUGGAAUUCUCGGUGUAGCGGUAAAAUGCGUAGAUAUCGAGAGGAACACCGAUGGCGAAGGCAGCUUCUUGGUCCAUUCCUGACGCUGAAACACGAAAGCGUGGGGAGCAAACAGGAUUAGAUACCCUGGUAGUCCACGCUGUAAA